ACGCUGGCGGCAGGCCUAACACAUGCAAGUCGAGCGCGCCCUUCGGGGUGAGCGGCGGACGGGUUAGUAACGCGUGGGAACGUGCCCAGAUCUAAGGAAUAGCCACUGGAAACGGUGAGUAAUACCUUAUACGCCCUUCGGGGGAAAGAUUUAUCGGAUUUGGAUCGGCCCGCGUUAGAUUAGGUAGUUGGUGGGGUAAUGGCCUACCAAGCCUACGAUCUAUAGCUGGUUUUAGAGGAUGAUCAGCAACACUGGGACUGAGACACGGCCCAGACUCCUACGGGAGGCAGCAGUGGGGAAUCUUGGACAAUGGGGGCAACCCUGAUCCAGCCAUGCCGCGUGAGUGAUGAAGGCCUUAGGGUCGUAAAGCUCUUUCGCCUGUGAUGAUAAUGACAGUAGCAGGUAAAGAAACCCCGGCUAACUCCGUGCCAGCAGCCGCGGUAAUACGGAGGGGGUUAGCGUUGUUCGGAAUUACUGGGCGUAAAGCGCGCGUAGGCGGAUUAGUCAGUUAGAGGUGAAAUCCCAGGGCUCAACCCUGGAACUGCCUUUAAUACUGCUAGUCUUGAGUUCGAGAGAGGUGAGUGGAAUUCCGAGUGUAGAGGUGAAAUUCGUAGAUAUUCGGAGGAACACCAGUGGCGAAGGCGGCUCACUGGCUCGAUACUGACGCUGAGGUGCGAAAGUGUGGGGAGCAAACAGGAUUAGAUACCCUGGUAGUCCACACCGUAAACGAUGAAUGCCAGUCGUCGGCAAGCAUGCUUGUCGGUGACACACCUAACGGAUUAAGCAUUCCGCCUGG
rnacentral:rRNA from 1 species